rnacentral:tRNA from 1 species
AUUAAGGUGGCAGAGCAGGUAAUUGCAUAAAACUUAAACCUUUAUAACCAGAGGUUCAACCCCUCUCCUUAAUA